UACGUAGGGGGCUAGCGUUAUCCGGAAUUACUGGGCGUAAAGGGUGCGUAGGUGGUUUCUUAAGUCAGAGGUGAAAGGCUACGGCUCAACCGUAGUAAGCCUUUGAAACUGGGAAACUUGAGUGCAGGAGAGGAGAGUGGAAUUCCUAGUGUAGCGGUGAAAUGCGUAGAUAUUAGGAGGAACACCAGUUGCGAAGGCGGCUCUCUGGACUGUAACUGACACUGAGGCACGAAAGCGUAGGGAGCAAACAGGAUUAGAUACCCCGGUAGUCCCUGAGCGGGCU
rnacentral:rRNA from 1 species